UACGGAAGGCAGCAGUGGGGAAUAUUGCACAAUGGGCGAAAGCCUGAUGCAGCUAUGCCGCGUGUAUGAAGAAGGCCUUAGGGUUGUAAAGUACUUUCAUCGGGGAGGAAAAAAACAAAACUAAUAAUUUUAUUUCUUGACGUUACCCGAAAAAGAAGCACCGGCUAACUCCGUGCCAGCAGCCGCGGUAAUACGGAGGGUGCUAGCGUUAAUCAGAAUUACUGGGCGUAAAGAGCACGUAGGUGGUUUUUUUAAGUCAGAUGUGAAAUCCCUGGGCUUAACCUGGAACUGCAUUUGAAACUGAAAUACUAGAGUAUCGUAGAGGGAGGUAGAAUUCUAGGUGUAGCGGUGAAAUGCGUAGAUAUCUGGAGGAAUACCUGUGGCGAAAGCGGCCUCCUAAACGAAUACUGACACUGAGGUGCGAAAGCGUGGGGAGCAAACAGGGAUUAGAUACC
rnacentral:rRNA from 1 species